rnacentral:rRNA from 1 species
AGAGUUUGAUCCUGGCUCAGAUUGAACGCUGGCGGCAUGCCUUACACAUGCAAGUCGAACGGCAGCACGGGGGCAACCCUGGUGGCGAGUGGCGAACGGGUGAGUAAUACAUCGGAACGUGUCCUGUAGUGGGGGAUAGCCCGGCGAAAGCCGGAUUAAUACCGCAUACGCUCUACGGAGGAAAGGGGGGGAUCUUAGGACCUCCCGCUACAGGGGCGGCCGAUGGCAGAUUAGCUAGUUGGUGGGGUAAAGGCCUACCAAGGCGACGAUCUGUAGCUGGUCUGAGAGGACGACCAGCCACACUGGGACUGAGACACGGCCCAGACUCCUACGGGAGGCAGCAGUGGGGAAUUUUGGACAAUGGGGGCAACCCUGAUCCAGCAAUGCCGCGUGUGUGAAGAAGGCCUUCGGGUUGUAAAGCACUUUUGUCCGGAAAGAAAACGCCGUGGUUAAUACCCGUGGCGGAUGACGGUACCGAAGAA